UACGUAGGGUGCGAGCGUUGUCCGGAAUUACUGGGCGUAAAGAGCUCGUAGGUGGUUUGUCGCGUUGUUCGUGAAAACCGGGGGCUUAACCCUCGGCGUGCGGGCGAUACGGGCAGACUUGAGUACUGCAGGGGAGACUGGAAUUCCUGGUGUAGCGGUGGAAUGCGCAGAUAUCAGGAGGAACACCGGUGGCGAAGGCGGGUCUCUGGGCAACAACUGACGCUGAGGAGCGAAAGCGUGGGUAGCAAACAGG
rnacentral:rRNA from 1 species